rnacentral:rRNA from 1 species
UACGGGGGGAGCAAGCGUUGUUCGGAUUUACUGGGCGUAAAGGGCGCGUAGGCGGCCACUGCAAGUCAGUUGUGAAAUCUCCGGGCUUAACCCGGAAAGGUCAACUGAUACUGCAGGGCUAGAGUGCAGAAGGGGCAACUGGAAUUCUCGGUGUAGCGGUGAAAUGCGUAGAUAUCGAGAGGAACACCUGCGGCGAAGGCGGGUUGCUGGGCUUACACUGACGCUGAUGUGCGAAAGCCAGGGGAGCGAACGGG